rnacentral:lncRNA from 1 species
UUACCACAUGUGAAAAUAAGUUUGGUGUGUGUGUGUUUUGGUCGGGGGACAUUCAUCUACCGCUGUGACUGGACUGAACUCUACAGCCAGAUAAGCAUCAAGAUAAGGCACCCAGAUAAGCACUAAGAUCUGGGAGGGGAUGGCUGCCCUGCAUGCCCAGAUCCACUGACCAGGCCCAGGGAGCCCAGUGUCAACACAGAGGCUCUUAUCACAUAUGUGGCCUCUAAGCUAAGAGCUGGCCAACUUUGAGGGUCACUGUGGCCUUGAAUGCUAAGCAUGGAGCAGUAACCAUGGUGGCCUGUGGGUUGGAGGCUCUUCCCAUUUUUCUGGCACCAUGUGAGCCUCCCUGAUCUGGUAUGAUUUAAGGAAGCUGAGGAACUGGGGUAUGUCUUCCAUGUCAGAGUUUGUACUGAACUUUUUACCCAUAGGGCACCCUAGAUGUAAACCAUAAAGAAAUGGCAGCCCUGGUUGAGUUUUUCCUCCUUGUAUCUCUCCUUCAUCCGGAGGUGGGGCUCCACUGACCACAGUACUGGCAUCUUCAUUUCCAAUCCCAAACACUGCUGUUCUGGAGACAAAUGUGACAGUGCAUGUGAAAACUGGAAGUGGUAAGACAGAUGUGAUGUUGUUAUUCUCCGACAAGAUGAUUUUCAUUUGUUUGGAUUUCCCCCGCAGAUUCAGGACAAUCUCACCAGCCUGGACGAGGAAGGAGACUUGGGGAAAUUCUGAUGAAAGUCCUUUGGGCUGACAGGAAGCUCUGGAUCUUGGUGAAGACCUGGAAGGGUUCCAUUUUUCAUCCAAAGGAGACAAUGUGCUGCGUGGCAUUGUUACACAGGAGGGGUCCCCAGAGCCUCCUGUAUGCAGAGGAAAGGAGGACUGAGCUGGUCUCCAUGUGGUCCUGCUCUCCCUAUCUCCCUGGGGUAGGUGGUUUCUGUUUGGGUCUGCGUGGGAGAUCAGGGGCAGUCCUGGGGACCAGCCCUGGCCUCGAGUGUUCUCCCAGCUUGACCCUGGCCUGGGCCCUGCCCACUGAGCUUCUGUGAGGCUGUACCUCUGGAGUAGCUGCCUGGCUUUGCGCAGGCCGUGCUCUCACAUAGGUGCGAGCCUGAACUCGGCUCCCUGGGGCUAAUCCCCGGCUUGGGGCUGCAGAGACUUGGAGGAAUGGCCACCAUUUUCUUCACACAAAGGCAUAGUUUAAUACCCAGUAUCCACGUGAGCGACAGUCAUGAGGGGGUGCCUGUCUGUACUUACUGCUGUCAGUUGGGUUGGCUAUUCUGAGGCAGGUACCCCAGGGGACAUGUUUUCCAAAGACAAACCUUCAGAUGAGACGCUGUGUUAGUUUCCUAUGGCCACCGAAAAAAUUUCUCACCAACCUGAUGGCUUAAAAGGGUGGAAAUUUAUUCCCUCACAGUUCUGGAGGCUGGAAAUUCAACAUCAGUUUCCCAGGGAAUCUGUUUCUUGCCUCUUCCAGCUUCAGGAAGUGCAUUUCUUGGUCCAUGUCCUCUUCUUUCAUCUUCAAAAUACACAAAAAUAUAAUUAAAGGAAAUACCAAUAAGCCAAGAUAACAGGAAAAGAAUAGCAUUAUCUAAUAUUCACCAGCCAGUUACAACCACCACCAACCAUUUUAUGUACAUUUUAAUAGGCUUUUUACUAUGCAAAUUUGUAUACUUCAUAAAAUAAAAAAGGGAUAAUGCUACA